GACGAACGCUGGCGGCGCGCUUAACACAUGCAAGUCGAACGGAAAGGCCUUUGCGGAGGUACUCGAGUUGCGAACGGGUGAGUAACACGUGGGUGAUCUGCUCUGCACUCUGGGAUAAGCUUGGGAAACUGGUUCUAAUACGGGAUAGGACCGCACUUUAGUGUGUGUGGUGGAAAGUUUUUUGGGGGUAGGAUGCGCCCGGGGCGUAUCAGCUUGUUGGUGGGGUGAUGGCCUACGAAGGCGGGGACGGGUAGCCGGACUGAGAGGUUGGUCGGCCACAUUGGGACAGAGAUACGGCGCAGACUCCUACGGGAGGCAUCAGUGGGGAGUGGUGCACAAUAGGCGCAAGCCUGAUGCAGCGACGCCGCGUGGGGGAUGACGGCCUUCGUGUUGUGAGCGCCUAUCGCCAGGGACGAGGCGUUUUGUGACGGUACCUGAUGAAGAAGCACCGGCUAACUACGUG
rnacentral:rRNA from 1 species